AGCGUAUAUUAAAGUUGUUGCAGUUAAAAAGCUCGUAGUUGAAUUUCGGGAUUGACGUGACGGUCGUGCCUUAAGGGGCGUGAACUGUCGCCGUUGAUUUCUCACCUUCUGGAGAAGCUCGAUGUCCUUAAUUGGAUGUCUUGUGGAACCAGGACCUUUACCUUGAAAAAAUUAGAGUGUUUAAAGCAGGCAUUUUGCUCGAAUACAUUAGCAUGGAAUAAUAGAAUAGGACGGCAUGGUUCUAUUUUGUUGGUUUCUAGGAUCACCGUAAUGAUUAAUAGGGAUAGUUGGGGGCAUUAGUAUUCAAUUGUCAGAGGUGAAAUUCUUGGAUUUAUUGAAGACUAACUACUGCGAAAGCAUUUGCCAAGGAUGUUUUCAUUAAUCAAGAACGAAAGUUAGGGGAUCGAAGACGAUCAGAUACCGUCGUAGUCUUAACCAUAAAC
rnacentral:rRNA from 1 species